AAGUCUGAUGGAGCAACGCCGCGUGAGUGAAGAAGGGUUUCGGCUCGUAAAGCUCUGUUGGUAGUGAAGAAAGAUAGAGGUAGUAACUGGCCUUUAUUUGACGGUAAUUACUUAGAAAGUCACGGCUAACUACGUGCCAGCAGCCGCGGUAAUACGUAGGUGGCAAGCGUUGUCCGGAUUUAUUGGGCGUAAAGCGAGUGCAGGCGGUUCAAUAAGUCUGAUGUGAAAGCCUUCGGCUCAACCGGAGAAUUGCAUCAGAAACUGUUGAACUUGAGUGCAGAAGAGGAGAGUGGAACUCCAUGUGUAGCGGUGGAAUGCGUAGAUAUAUGGAAGAACACCAGUGGCGAAGGCGGCUCUCUGGUCUGCAACUGACGCUGAGGCUCGAAAGCAUGGGUAGCGAACAGGAUUAGAUACCCUGGUAGUCCAUGCCGUAAACGAUGAGUGCUAAGUGUUGGGAGGUUUCCGCCUCUCAGUGCUGCAGCUAACGCAUUAAGCACUCCGCCUGGGGAGUACGACCGCAAGGUUGAAACUCAAAGGAAUUGACGGGGGCCCGCACAAGCGGUGGAGCAUGUGGUUUAAUUCGAAGCAACGCGAAGAACCUUACCAGGUCUUGACA
rnacentral:rRNA from 1 species